CUCUGUGUGGGGAACAUGAGAGCCAGACCAAAGCUCAGAGGAACCAGCCUGGACCUCCACCCAGCUCUGUGUCCUGUAAGAGUGACAGCUCUAAAGGUCAUAACAUUGAUUUUAAAGUCCAUCAGGUGUCUGCUGCAGAGAGGAUCCAUGGGAGACCUGCUGGACCUGAACCUGGACCAAGCUGUGUGUCCUUAAAGAGCAACUGGUCUAAAUAUGAACCCAUCAAUUUUAAAGUCCAGCCUGUGUCUGCUGCAGAGAGAUAUGGUUCAAGAGACUGUGGAUUUGCUGUUGAGGAGAGGGAACUGGAUGUGUUUCCCGAGGAGGGGCUACCGGUUGGAUUGUGUGGUGAUCCAAACAUUGGGGAAUAUUUACAACAGGCUGUACAACAAAACACACUGCAGCAGCCACAAGACAGGGAAUCGGCCACAGAACUGUAUUUGGCCCUGAAGGACAUAGCUGGGUUUUAGAUACCAACUGAACUUCAGUUUGUAAUGACAUUUGUCAGAGUUACUCUGACGAAGACACACACGGUGUCGAAACGUUAGUUUCUUUCCUUUUUUUGCACCUAAUAAAACUUUUGGACUUACUUGAGUGCUCCAGCCCUUCUGUUUUUCCUUCAUUUUUUAAUGUUAGUAGUGUUUCCUUUCCCUCUUGCUAAAUUGAAUAUAAUAUUGUUCAUAAUAUACAGCAACUGGCAUGGAUUUAAAUAUUAACAUUUAACCACAAGGAAACAUUUAAAAUUUUCUUUAAUAAAACCAU